GGCUGUGGUCAAAUCUGCUUCCCUGCUGUCCCCUCCCCCCCUCAGGAGCCCUUGUGACACCGCCACAGUUCCAUGAUAAGGGCAUGGGGUUCUAAUCUCCAAGUCACUCCCAGUCCUCAGUUGCCUGAGAGUAGAACUGUAUUUGAGAUAUGGAAACUCCUAUCUUAUAUCUAAAAACCAUUGUUGCUACCUAGUUGAGCUCCAGUUCCGCUUCCUGGGUGAUUGGGACCAUCCUCUGCAUCCUGUAUGGACUGGGGCUCUUCCUCCUGUUCUUCCCCUCCCCCAGAAGGAAUUUGCCCUCACAACCAACUUACAAAAGGAGAAACGUCAGGAAAGUAAGAAAUCCUGGACCGAGACCCACCAGAAGAUGAGUCUCCCUUCUUUUUUACUAUGAUUUCCCCUUCUCUGAAUCAACUAAAGGGACUCCAGGGAUGGGAAACAAUAGAACAUCAUCCUUCUAGGGACAAGCCAGGCUAGGUUGGCAGGGGUGAGGGUGGGCACAAAGAUUUCCAUCCAAAGAUCUCGGAGCAGGAGUCCUGGUGUGGCAGAGGGCUCCAGGGAAAGUCCCCAGGCCAGUGACCAGUGGCCAAGGAUGGGAUGCUGAUUAGGAUCUGUGGGAAGAUAGGCCCUGAGCGCUUGUUCCCCAGCUGCCUUCCUGGGGCAGGUGUCUCAGGUGGGCCUUUCCUCUAUUGUGGCUCAUCUGAGGGCAGUGAUGAGCCCCCGAGAGCCUCUGAGCAGGACCUGGAGUGGGGCUGUGGCCUCAGGAAACAAAGUCCUCAUGAGGAACCUCAUAAGAUUUCAUACAUCUGAGAAUGUGCACGUUUCUUAACAGAGAAACAGUGAGAGAAGAUCCAUGCUGGUCCCACAUGGGGACCUUCUUAUGAUCCCCAAAGAAGGAAGACAGCAAAUGUCCAUUUUGUGUUCAAUUAUCCAUUUCAAAAGUAAGUAAAAGGGAAGAAACACCCCAGAGCCCCAGGACUUCAGUGUAGACAGUCAUCUUCCUCACAAAUGCUGUACGUCUGCAGCUGGUCCAGAGACAGAAGAGGGAGCCUUGGGUCUCUGCCCCCACAGUUUCUUGUUUUUUUCUCUCAUUUCAGCGUCAAGUGAAGCUGAGAAGGAGGAGCAGCAGGAGCAGGAAGAAAAGGGGAGCUUUGAACGCUUACAGAGCUGGCCAGAAGGACCUGGCAGAAGUGGGGGGCCUGAUGUCCCUUUUGCAAAGCUCCCUGGGGAGGCUGUCUUGUAAGGGAUGCUUCCAUCGCUUGUCAUCUCAAGAUUCUCCUGGGGAGGCAUGCAAGACAGCAUCUGCUAGAGUUCACCAGCCAUGCGGGAAGCCUGUGGAAGGUGUUCCUCUCACCAUGAAUCCAGCACUUUCCCUGGCUCUUCUGACCCAGCCCACUCUACCUUUGGCCUCCACUCUGCCAGCAGAACCUCCAUCUGCCUUGACCAGAACUCCAUUAGGCCCUUUUGCCACGAGCUCAGCUCUAGCUCACUCCUGUUUCCAUCUACCAACUCAGGCCGCAGCCGCACGAGCUGUAGCAUUGGGUUCCUCAGCAAAUCUAUGAAUUAUCCUUUUGUUGGUUUGAGUCAAGGGUGGAGGAAAUGUCCUGUAGAAAGUUCCAACCAUGCCAGGUCUUCGUUUUCUUACUGGACAUGGGCUAGUUUAGGAGCAUCAUGUGAUGGAGCAUAAAGGGUGGACUUUGAGGACAACCGGGUCUGGGGCUGAACACAAGCUUAGCCAUUUGUGAACUGCCUGAUCUAAGACAUGUUCUUAACCAUUCUGAAUUUCAGUUUCUCAAUCCAGGUAAAGAAAAUAAUAAGAUUUACCAGUAGGAGUUAUAGGACUUAGUUUCUUUUCUGGUUCUCUGAUCUACUCUGUAAUUUUGGCAAGUCGUGUGACCUCUUCAGGCCUACUUAUCUUUGAGAGAAAAUGAAGGUCUUAGUGGUUCUCCAUAGGAAUAUGAUUUUCUCCCACCCGGGGGCAUCUGAAAGUGUGUGUGGUGUUUUUUGAUUGUCAUGAAACUAAGGGAAUCAAGAACGUAAAUUGCUCUGUAAGGGGGAGGACAGUCCCAUACAACAGAGAAUUGUUCCAUCAGAAAAUCAACGUAGCCCUGUUGUGAAACCCAAUUAGAACAUCUCUGAAGUCUUUGUCACCUUAACAUUUCAUCAUUUUACUCUAUGUCAUUGUUUCCUUACAAUUAUGAUGGAUGAACUAGAUAAUUAAAUGCUAUGAGCCACCCUGCCACACAUGAGCAUGUUUAUCAAAAUGAAGGAUGGUGGAAUAAAGAACUGGCUUUUUUUGGGUUGGAGUAAAGGGCUCAAGGCAAGUCUCAGAGCGUGUGAGACAGAAGCUUCCCUGGAAGUAGUUCCUAAAGUGCUCACUAUGGAAAGUAAAGGAAACCUAUAUUUCAUGAGCAGAGUUGC